rnacentral:tRNA from 1 species
AUGCCAUUAGCUUAGUAGAUAGAGUAUCCGCCUUCUAAGCGGAUGGUCAUAGGUCCGAAUCCUGUAUGGCGUGCUA